GACGAACGCUGGCGGCGUGCUUAACACAUGCAAGUCGAACGGAAAGGCCCUGCUUUUGUGGGGUGCUCGAGUGGCGAACGGGUGAGUAACACGUGGGUAACCUGCCCUUGACUUUGGGAUAACUUCAGGAAACUGGGGCUAAUACCGGAUAGGAGCUCCUGCUGCAUGGUGGGGGUUGGAAAGUUUCGGCGGUUGGGGAUGGACUCGCGGCUUAUCAGCUUGUUGGUGGGGUAGUGGCUUACCAAGGCUUUGACGGGUAGCCGGCCUGAGAGGGUGGCCGGCCACAUUGGGACUGAGAUACGGCCCAGACUCCUACGGGAGGCAGCAGUGGGGAAUAUUGCACAAUGGGCGGAAGCCUGAUGCAGCAACGCCGCGUGCGGGAUGACGGCCUUCGGGUUGUAAACCGCUUUCGCCUGUGACGAAGCGUGAGUGACGGUAAUGGGUAAAGAAGCACCGGCUAACUACGUG
rnacentral:rRNA from 1 species